UUGAGAACCACUGCUCUAAGGUGUGGAAUCACAAGUAAAUGAUGCCAUUCCUAUUUCAUUUUAUACAUCUCUGACAGUGCAGCAGUUUGGUUUGAAUGGUUCCAAUAUUUAUGUCUCUUUAGAGGGAAUAUUCACAUAUCAUCAGCCAGAGCUUGUGUACUGCAGCAUGAGGUUAAACUUUAAAACUAAAAAAAACAAACAAAAUAAUGCCAUAAUAGUGACAUCAAGCCAGACAGAGAUUCAGACUGUGAUGCAAAGUCCCAGUAGAUAAAUACUUUCCAUCAAGUCAAGAUAGCAUGAAUUACCUGAAUUUAGACCGUCAUUUGAUAUUUUGAUGUAGGUUAUGUGCAAUACCUUGAUGUAUGAUAUGAAGGAAAUAUUUGUGGGGGUCAAAUAAGUUUCAUUAGGACCAUUAAAAACAGUCUUUGGAGUCAUAAAGAGAAUUCGUUUCUCCAGGUGCAGCGGUGCAAAUGUGUGACACACUGACAGGAGAGCAUCCUCCAUUGAUACCUGACAGAUCAGGUUAAACCUGCUGCUACUGAGCCCCCUCUCACAGUAAAAGACACACACACACACACACACACACACACACACACACACACACACACACACACACACACACACACACACACACACACACACAGAGCGCCUCUCUUCUCACUCUCUGUCUGCCUCCUGUUCAGUCUCUCUGCAGUGAAACUUGACUCUGCUGCUAAACUGCCACAUUAUGUUUGUGUCCAUGAGGAGAGACAGGCAUUUUAUCAACCUGUGUGUGUAUGUGUGUGUGGUGGUGUUGUUAAAGUAAAAGUAUGUACAUACUGUAUGUGCACACCUUUACACAACAAUAAACACAAAGACGUCAGUAUGAAGUCAAUAGUUACAGUUACAUAAUGAAAGGAGGACAGACUCAGUGUGAACCUGAGAGCCGUCUGCGCUGUGAAAGGCUGCGUUUCAUCAGAGAAAAACUGAUCUCUCCUCUUUGUUGGCUGAAAAAAGAAACAAUCGUGGACUGUGAAUGAAGCAGAAUCAUACAGAGCCGGUGAUUUUAGGAUUAAACACAUCAUUUAUUAUCAAAUAUUCAAAGGGAAACAUGUAAAGGCCUCAAUAAUGGAGAGUAAAAAUAGCCAAGGAGAAAAGAAACGGAUCAACAAGAGUUUUAUUUGACAAUAGACUCCAUAAAAGCAAGUGGAACAUAAGUUUGCAUCAUGUGACAGACAGGAACUACAACCAAGAGGAUGGGGAUUUCUUUAUUCAGGUCAGGUUUCCUCAACCGCAGAGACGUAUUUCUGGAAACUCUCCACUCUGUUCUCCCGUGAGCACAAAAAGCCAGUUUUGAGUUACAAGCAAAAUCAAAUCAUCACAUUUGUACAAUUUUAUCUGUGCUAGGAUCCAAAGUAAUGUUUUCACAUCGUACACAGAGCAGUCAGAGUAAAACCAGAAAACACAACGAUCAGAGGUCGCACAAGCAAAAUAUAAAACAAUGGUUAUGACAGAGUGUUUGGGCCACAUUAAAGAUCUUCUUUUUUGUUUUUAAGAUUAGUCAAAGUCCUUUUCUUAUGAGAAUUAAGUCAUUACGUUGGGAAAAUGAGUCAAAGAUUAGCCAAAGGGGAAACCACACAUCUUAGCUUUCUGCCCAGUCCUGAUACUUAUAACAAUGAGGUGACAAAACAUUAGAGACACUUAAACCACACGCUCCAUGUUCCUCAUUUUGGUACAGCUGACGGCUCACUGUAGACCAAAACUACGACUUUAUCUCCACUUUACUCUCAGCACAUUUUUGGAUGAUGCUAUGACUAUACUACAACUAUUACUUUUUCAACUGUAAGCCUGUAUAUGCAUAAUGACAUGAUUUUCUUGCCACUUUAUUAUCGAAGGAAAUUAGUCAAAAUAAUUAUUAAAAAUAUUCUUUAAUAUGGCCCUAAUGACCUGAUGUAUACAGUGAACAAAUAGUUAUUACACUUAUUUAUACAAAUACUACAAAUGCAGCUGAAGAUCUAUUUAAAUAAAUAGGUUUUUUUUCAACUGAGGAGGUUCGCAGAAGAAAAAAAAAAAGACUUUUUCACACAGUUCAAGAUCUAUGCAGCGCUCUGCAAAGAUAGUUAACACAGAGACCAUGUCUCAUCCUUUUCCUCUUUUCUGUGGUCUGACACCUUUUCUCUCUUCCCCUAAGAUGAUCUUCAGUAAGUCUGAAUUUGGAGAGUGAUGUCAGAAGUUUGAGAGCAACAUUAAAAUCUUUUUCUUUGAU
rnacentral:lncRNA from 1 species